rnacentral:piRNA from 1 species
UGAAAGUAAUGGUUAUACCUUCAGAUUGGUC